rnacentral:rRNA from 2 species
GGUUUGAGAGGAUGAUCAGCCACACUGGGACUGAGACACGGCCCAGACUCCUACGGGAGGCAGCAGUGGGGAAUCUUAGACAAUGGGGGCAACCCUGAUCUAGCCAUGCCGCGUGAGUGAUGAAGGCCUUAGGGUUGUAAAGCUCUUUCAGCUGGGAAGAUAAUGACGGUACCAGCAGAAGAAGCCCCGGCUAACUCCGUGCCAGCAGCCGCGGUAAUACGGAGGGGGCUAGCGUUGUUCGGAAUUACUGGGCGUAAAGCGCACGUAGGCGGACCGGAAAGUUGGGGGUGAAAUCCCGGGGCUCAACCUCGGAACUGCCUUCAAAACUACUGGUCUUGAGUUCGAGAGAGGUGA